UAUUCAAUUUCAAAAUUUCACUUUUGACAAAUAAAACAAAAUUUAAUCCGAUUUUAAAAAUUUUUGAAUGAGACAAAUAAAAUUUUAAUAACGAAAAAAAAUUUAAUUUUAACGCAAAAAAACUGAAAAAUAGCAAAUAAUAAUUGUUAAUUAAAAACGUCACAUCUGCUGAGGGAAAUCCUGAAAAUGGUAUUAAUGAUACCAGUGUCAAGUGGAUCUUCAUCUAUUGAACUUUCGGAACCAGCUAAUCAUCAUUAAAAACCCGAAGAAUCGUUCGAAGAAAAUCCAGCCCGAAUAAAAAGAACACAUUCAGCAUUCAGAGCUGAAUGAAAACUCCAAUCUCCAAGGGAAUCGCGUUCGGGAGAACGUUCUCAAUCAAAAAGUUUCUGGAAAUUUUGCAAUUUUUUUCCUUUUUCAUCGUUUUUAACGAUAAGGGAACAAAAUUAAAACAACAAAGGAAUGAUAUUCUUGCAAUUUUUUCGAUUGUGAACCUGAUUUCAUGAAGAAGAAAAAUGCCAGCAAUGAAGCAAAUCUUAUUUCAACUACAAACAAUUGUUGCAGUUUCUUAAACAAUCUGCAAUCGUCUAUCAACCAAUUACCCUUCAUAUUUUUAAGCCUUCCAAAAUUAUUUAUGAUUAAAAAUGUCCGUUUUUAAAUUGAAAAUAAAAGUAAGCUAUGAAAUUUAUAUACUAAAUGUGUCAAAUGUGUCAUGGAAAAUUUUUCGUUUUCAAAUAAAAAAUUUUAAAUCGAAGUUGCUAUGAAUUUUUAAAAUUUCAAUCUGUCAUGGAAAAUUUUUCCCUUCAAAUAAAAAAAUUUAAAUCGAGGUAGCUGUGAAAAUUUCAAACGAAAUAAAGGAAAAAAACGAUUUUAAUCGAGCGAAAGAGGCAAGACUGUUUUGUGUGAGCUGAAGAAAAUAUUGAAUUAUUUCAAAAUGCAAGAUAUUAAAAAUAUUUACGAAAAUGUGCUGAAAAUUGCUACAAAAUGCUGCAGCAGAUUUCGAAUCAAGCGAAUCGAUCAUUCUAAAGGUAAUGAUGUAUAUUAUUACAAAAAUUCAUUUGACAGGAUUCGUGGUGUUAAACACCUGAUUACUUUUGAGCCCAACAGGGCUUUUGACAACACAAAGACAUUCCACGACAGACCAGCCUAUCUCGUCUUUGCUCAGGUUAAUCGAAAAGUCCGAUUUAACCUGAGCAGAGAUGUCUAAGCAUCGAUUCUGUCAUGGAAGCACUUGACAAUGGUGGCAUCAACACCAUUUUCAGGAUGUCUCCAUGGCAGAUGAGAGGUUUGUUUAAUAAUUUCUAUUUAUUUCUUUUCUUUUCAGGUCGGGCACGACAGUUGGGUUUAUCAGUUGGGUAAUGUUGUAUCCCUACAAGAAGCGAGGGGUAGACAUUAACUAGCUGAUAAGCCGGAUUGUUGUGCCCGGGUACGAUUGUUGGGCUCGUCAGUUAGAGGGUGUUGUAUCCUUCCAAGAAGUGAAGGGUAGACACAAUCUGGCUGAUGAGCCCAACUUUCGUGCCCAAGGAUGAGCGAAGGGUUGAAACAAUCUGGCUGAUGAAUCCAAGUUUUGUGCCCAAGGACGAGACGAUGACGGGUGGACAGAAAUGUUGCGUC